rnacentral:lncRNA from 1 species
GGGGUCUAGAAGACAAGAAAAGAAAAUGUAUCAAACUUGAUAACUCUGAUGUAAUAGCGAGAUUGUAAUUUGGAAGUAAAAAUGUAAACAGAAACUGUGAUGUAAAAAGUGGUUGUAAAAUGAAUGCAUGUAAUAGCAAGUAGAUUAUGUAUUUGAUACUUCCUUAUGCAAUCUGGAUUGAUAUCCGUUCCUAGUUGGAACAUUCGUUGAUUGUUUGGAUUGCGACGCCUUGGACGUACUGGGGAGACUCUGUCCGCGUACAAAGGAAUCCCCGGUCCGUUCGGUGGUCUGUCGUCGGCGCCGCGACCCUGUCCAAAUAGGCGGUUGGUCGCAGGGAGUGACAGAUAAGAUGGUAUCAGAGCAUAAAGUAGAGAAUGGGCUAUGGUUUAGCUGGACCUAGGAGACCUAGGAUAGUAAACCAUAGGAGAAUAAGGCUCGUGAGAGACGAGGACUUGUGAAUUACGGCGAAAGAUUGAUCGAUUGGGUCAGGUUAGUAACCCUCUGAAACGGAUGUUAGAGGUGGAUUCAAGGUUCAGUUUAUUCUCAGCCGAGGAUGUUCAUGUUGGGCAUGCACAACAUGAAACCGGGUGAUGAGAAUAGACGUCCUUGCGUGACUUUCGCCCGAUUUGAGUCAGUGUUAGUUGUCUCGUGUUCGACCCAGAGGGUCGAGGGUUGAACGAGUUGUCGUGCUUUAGGAAGCGAUGGCAUCGUGUAGGCGAUCAAUAUAAAGAUCGGCGCGGGAUGAGACAAGUGGUGUCCCUAAGCAAUCUGAAGCGAGCGGAGAAUUGAAACUUCGCUAUCAAUUGGCCACACUCGUGGGAGUGGUGAGGCCACGAGUCGGUGGUGCAGCGUCAGUAGGAGACUACCAUACACCAAAGGGAUCGUGUAAGAGGGACUCCAAGAGUUGGUGGACCAGUGGUGAUCGCACUAGUUUCGGCUCGUCGAGUAUGGCCGGGAGUCGCGGUGGAGGUGUUUCCGUCGGGGUUGGGUGAUCCGACUUCUAGCAGUUCGUUGGUGGAGGCAGUGAGGAGGGCGAGCUUUGGUGGCCCUCAUGACCUUCAAGCUAUUGGAUCCACCCACCUUUGGUGGAGAGGAUGCGGAUCCAUGAACCAUGGAGUUGUGGAUCGACUCCAUAGAGACUCUCUUUAAGGGUCUAUGUGCUGUGGAGCGGGAUAAGGUACGCCUAGCCGUGCGUUGUCUGAAACAAUCGGCGAUGGUGUGGUGGAAAGGCGUCAAGCGGAUUUGAUCGCCUAGUUUCCUUCCUGUCGCUUGGGAUGAGCUUCGGGAUUUGUCGUGUUCUACUUCCCCGUACCCCGUACCCGAAGUUUGCCCAGUCUGGGCAGUGCACAUUCUUGAGUGCAAUUGCAAUCCCUAACCUCGGAGGUGUCUUGUGUUAACUUCUUCAAGAUACGGGAUUACCGAAGUUCUCACCAGGCGCGGUGGGGUGCGCUGCGUGAUGAGAUCUGCAUUCGUAUGGGCGAUGGCCAAGCCAUAAGCGAGGGGAGUGCCGCUGAGGGAUGAUCAGACCUUAGCGUUAGCGACGGCCUCCUCCUCCCCGAGACAGCCUGUGCGUGUGUCACCUGCAGCAUGGUUUGGAGGGUGAGUGAUAAAGAAGUGACAACCUGAGGGUUCGCGGCGAGCGCCAGGUGGCCAUGGAUAGCGACCCGGUUUGGGGAGCCUGCUGCUGCCGAGGAUAUCGCGGCAGAUGUGAUUUAGUUAAAGCAAGCAGGUACUUUUGCAUGAUCUCAAGUUGACGCAUUGUGUCUUUGCCCUGUGGUCAUUUACUGCUAUCGAUGCGUCAGAGUGGCAGGGACCAAGUGGACGGGUAAGUGUAAAUGCCCGGGCAUGCUUAUGCGGUGAAAGUGUAGCACCUGCCGGUGCAAGCAAGGAGCUAUAUGGCACUAACAAGUUACUAGUGAUAACCAGGUGAUAAGACUCAUGGUAAAGGUGGAGAUGGGGAAAUGACUCUCGAGGCAACGAUUAGUGGAUUGCGAGGGUUGAACCAUAAUACCUGUAGACACGCGAGUAAUCCGAGAAUUUCGGAUAUUGUUCCGAUAGAUCGAACGGUGAAAGGAAAGUCAUUGUUGAGAGAGUAACUGGUUAGUUACCAAGUUGUGGCACGUGGGCCUAGUAGUAGCACCUCAACUUGAGGUUAGAAGUUGUGCUUAUUUGGUCGGCGCGCAUAGGCAGGGUUGCCUGAUGCUAGAUUUAGUUUGGAACGCUAUAGAGGCGUGUAGAGCGCUUGAGUAUAGGUACUCGUGGUGUGCGGUAUUCACUCAGCCGAGAAAGUGAGAUGGCAGUAGCACUGUAGCAUUGCUAGGUGUGAAGCGUGCCUGGUAUCACUCGUAGGGGCUGAUGGCUCGCACUAGGUGCUUAGGAGCGGAUAUUGGUAUGUGUGACUCGGUAGAGCAUGUCGUGUAGGACGACGACGGCGGGUAGUGCUUGGGGACGACCCGUGCCUGGACCAUUUGUGGACUGUAGAGCCUGAGCCCUUUGGGCAGGCGCAGUCAGCUGUGAGAGACAGCGGCCCGAUACCUACAGGUAGGGCAGAGAUUUGGUCAGGAUGGUAGUCCGAGCUUAGACCCGGGAGCGUGGAAUGCCACGUGUUAGAUCAUGAGAUCGAGGAUACACCGAGUGUGUAGUGACCCAACCCGAGGAUUUGAGGUGGUUUGGGGUCACGGUUGCUCCUGGUUGGAGCGUGUGCGAAUUCUCCAAUGCGAAUUUCGCCCGAUUAUGAUUUGGCCUACGCUGGUGAGCAAGGGACGCUAUACGUAGUUGUAAGAGGUUUAGGCGGUAGACCUACGUAGGACGGGUGACUGUUGGUCCACCUGUGGAAACCGACGUAAUCGGUUUAGCCGAUAACUCUAUUAGUGAGUUGGCUUGGAUUCACGAACAUAGGGUUCGUGUGGAUUUGUCGCAAGAGCAAGGUAAAGUUGGUCGUGGCUUAUGAUAUCAAGGGCGAAAUGCUCUUGUGCGAUAUUGAGAUGUGGAUAGCCACGUGGGAAUUGGAGCUUGAGGACAAUGCUCUUUUGUGGAUUGAGAUUGGAGAUGUGCCGGAAUGGGCCAUCUCCUGAUAGAACAAGGAUCCGGUUGUGAUGAACCACUCGCGAUUGGUCGAGUCACCAACGAUAUUGCUUCUAAGCAAUGCAGGUGAUCGAAUCGGAGUGAAAUUUUUCGUUUGGGUGUAUAAUGCAAGAGUAGUUCUUUGCAUGGUGGUAAUACACUUUUGGAGCUGCACGUGGCAAAUGUGAGUGAAUCUAGUCUCACAUCUUCCGUAGUGAGCCUAUGGAUAGUUCCGAUGAGCGAAAAGCCACUCCGAGAUGCAAAAGUGCACUGUACCCCUUGUCACUCAAGAAAGAGAAUUAGAGUGUGAAUUGGGUUGAAGUGAGUGAGUUUCGGGGACGAAACUCUUUUUAAGGAGGGGAGAAUGUAAGGUACCGGACUUCUAAAACUAUGAAGUUACGGUGUACAUUUAAAUGGCUCCGGUGAGGUUGCGGCGGAAUGUAACAUACCGGAUUUUAAAUAUAAAAGUGAAAAUAAAUAAAAAUAGUAUGAGAUACUAUUUUUAUUGGAUUUAGAGAAGUGAAAUAUAGGUUGGGAAUGACCUGUGCUGAAAUCGGAGCGAAAACAGAAGAUUUAGAAUUUUCUGUUGGAAAUGGGACAGAUAAUUAGCAGAAAAUGCACAGUCUCAGAAAAUUAUGAAAAUUGGCGGGGAUGUCAGAAAUAUUUUAAUGAGGCUAGAUUUGAAGUUUCAUAUUUUUCUGACGCCCGUAGAGAGAGAAAUAGCAUCCGAAAGCCAUCUGAUAAAGAUUGCAGUUCGGCACAGUUUUCGGUGACCAAACGGGGUCGAAACUGAAAUAUUAAAAUUUCUUUGGACUUAUUAAGUAAAACCGAGCGUGCCUGUCAAAUUUGAGCUCAAACGGAUAUUCAGGGAGCUCCGGCGAAAGAUAUCAGAUUUGGAGCUGCCUGAUGUGAAUAGUGUAUGCUACUAUUGAGGUGUUGACUAUAAGUAGAAGCUACUAGGCUUCUUCCUCCUCAAGUUGCAGCCAGCACCAAGCAUCACACGCACAUGGUGUAGUGAGAGAAACCCUCUCUUUCUCUCUCUAAAUAUCUCUCUCAUCUCUCUAUAUUUCUCGCCCAAAUUCGCGGCGUUGGUGGAGAUCGAGCUUGCGAACGCGUUGGAGGCGACGGAUUGAGCUUUCGUGCGCCCGUUGGAGCGGCGUGUUUUCGUUGCGGCGUUCACAUUGGGGUAAGCUUUUGGGAUUUGGCUUAAUCCUUAGCUUUAAGUGUUCUAUUAGCCUCUAAUGAUCAUUAGUAAGCAUAUUGAUCCAUUUAAUUUGGAUUAUUUGGAGGUUAAUUGUACGUUAGGGCUCCGAAUGGGAUUUUGUAAAAUGUAAGGGUUUGAUCUCAUUUGACCCUUCGUAAACCUAAUUGCUAGGUAACGAAACGCGUUGGCGAAGACGGUUCGGUAAUUCGACGAGCCGUUACAAAGUUAUUAAAGAAAUAGACGUUUAGGCUUCGGGUCCGCCGGGAGGGCCGAUGCGACGUCGUAAAAUCAUGGAAAUGGAUUUGAGGCAUCGUGGCACAUAACCGAAGACCUAUAAUUUCCGGAUUUGUAAAGCGGAACACGGUUGAGGCGCAAGAUCUUGUCGGGCCCAAAGGGUGCCGAGUGCCGCGGGAGGCCGAUUGCAAGUGACGACAAGCAAUCGGAACGCGAGUUAAGGUGGGUUGUGCUUACCGAAGCGACUAGGUCGCCCUUUAUGUCUUAGCAAUGUAAUCUCAUGUUGAUGCAUGUGCAUGUAGACAAGAGCAAGGAUGCAUGUUAAUAAAGAUGCAUAAAGUAGAUGCUAAGUAGAAAGCAUGAUAAAUGGUAAUGCUUAGAGCAAAUGCAUAUUAAUAACAAUGCAUAGUGGAGCAUAAUGAUUAUGGCAUUAGAUAAUGCUAGCUAAUGUAAAGUAAUGCAUGAUAAUGAUAAUGCAUAGAUGAAAAUGCUUAGUAGAAAUGCAUGGUGAGCAAGUUACACAAUGCUAAUAAUGCAUGAUAAUAAUGUAAUGCUAAGUAAUGCAUGAUAUGAAGUAAAUGCAUAUUAAUAAUAAUGCAUGAUGAGGAUGCUAAGUAAGGGAUGCAUGUUAGUAAUGAUGCAAAGAGUAAUUGCUAAGUAGAAAGCAUGAUGCAUGGUAUAUGUAUAUAAACCAGAUGAUAACUCUAGGAUGAGUAGAGAUGACUGGACAACUAAGUUGUCAGGUAGAUCGAGUGGCAUCUAACCUAGUGUUAAAGAACAUAGGUUGGUUAGUAAACCUAGAGUUGAACAAUCUAGGUGUGUGGCAUCUAACCUAGUGUUAGUAAACCUAGGUUGAACUAGUAAACCUAGAAGUGGAUAUCUAGGCAAAGAUGAUAAGAACCUAGCAAGUGUAUCUAGGUUAAGUGAUGUGGACAUAGAACCUAGAGUGUUGGAACCUAGGUUGAUGAGUAUAGUGGUAUAGCCACUAGAUUGAGCUAGGUCGACAGUAUAGGGUUGGCUAUGAACCCUCGACCUGUGGUAAGUGGAUUCCGGAAUCCCAGGACUUAUGAUGUCCCUGGUACAGGCUAGGGCGUUCGUGCGACGAUUUCGCCGCCGAGCUUGGUACCGUGGGUAGAUUGGGGGCGAUCACAUGGAGAUCACCGCCCGGGGCUUGAACCAUUGUGCUGGCGUUUGUGCGACGAUUUCGCCGCCAGAGUGGUUAAGCCAUUUGAGGAUCAGACCGCCAGAGUAGACUGAAUCCAUGCUGGGUAAGUACGAUGCGGGUGCCUCCAGGUGACUGAGUCUGACAUGAUCGUUGUUGGGUGUGGUGCGACCCGUUCGCCGCCAGACGGUAUGUCAUGUCUCGAGCUCACGCUGGGUAUGUGCAACGCGAUCGCCACCGAUGGUCAAGUCUUGUGACUCGAGCCGUCUUCAGCGUGUGCGACGAUUUCGCCGCUAGGAGGCUGAGUCAGAGAGAGUGCGGUAGGCUGUUGAGCAGCCAGUGCGCGGACUAUCCGCAGAUGAUUGACUCGAAGCCGAGUCGGGUGGUUAGCUAUGAUAGGGUAGAGGAACCCUUAUGAGCCAGAGAUAGAGGCUUGAGCUAAGGUAAUAGAAACCUUAGAAGCCAGUGGUUGGUGUUGUGAUCCUAAGGUAAUAGAAACCUUAGAGUAAAGUUAUGAGCUAAAGUAGCCAAGUAAAAGUAGAAUUCAUAUGAUCUACUAGUUGUUGCAUGGUUUUCAUAUCGCAUAUCGUGAGGCAUGGCAUGUAUUUCAAUUGAAUAUAUAUAUCUGUUGUAUAUUGUUGAACUAACAUGUUGCAGUGCCUCCUCGGACCUAUCGGUCGAGCUUUUCCCUUGGGUGGCCGUACCCACUGGGAACCAUGGAGUUGGUUCUCACCCCACGUGAUUUUGGGGUGUUUUCACGUUGUUCGUGUGCGGCGCGGCGGCGCGAGGCGAGGGCGUAGCUCAGUAGAUAGCGCCCCACCACAGAGACCGAGGUAGCAGUGCCUUGAGACAGUCUAGCUUAGGGGUCUAGAAGACAAGAAAAGAAAAUGUAUUAAACUUGAUAACGCUGAUGUAAUGGCGAGAUUGUAAUUUGGAAGUAAAAAUGUAAACAGAAACUGUGAUGUAAAAAGUGGUUGUAAAAUGAAUGCUUGUAAUAGCAAGUAGAUUAUGUAUUUGAUACUUCCUUAUGCAAUCUGGAUUGAUAUCCGUUGCUAGUUGGAACAUUCGUUGAUUGUUUGGAUUGCGACGCCUUGGACGUACUGGAGAGACUCUGUCCGCGUACAACGGAAUCCCCGGUCCGUUCAGCGGUCUGUCGUCGGCGCCGCGACCCUGUCCAAAUAGGCGGUUGGUCGCGGGGCGUGACACACGGACUCCAAAUCUCUUUACACCUCUCAUCGGCGAUACCUUCAAAAAUACGCGGUCUCCAACCGCGAACUCUAAAUCCUUUCUCCGCUGGUCGGCAUAACUCUUUUGCCGAGAUUGCGCCGUCGCAAGUCGUUGGCAGGCAAGGGGAACUUUCUCUUUCGCCUCGCGCACCACAUCAGGUCCAAAAGUAACUCUCUCGCCCACAUCGCUCCAAUGUAUAGGCGAGCGACACUUCUUUCCAUAAAGGGCCUCGAAUGGCGCCAACGCGAUACUCUCUUGAUAACUAUUGUUGUAUGCGAACUCUGCCAUCGGCAAAUAAUCGUGCCAUCCGCUCUUAUAGUCGAGUACACACAUUAGAAGCAUAUCCUCAAGAAUUUGUAUUGUCCUUUCCGAUUGACCAUCACUUUGAGGAUGAAAUGCCGUGCUAAAAUCGAGCCGUAUGCCCAAAGCGUCUUGUAAGCUCCUCCAAAAGUGAGGUGUGAACCUCGGGUCUCGAUCCGAUACAAUAGACACCGGAACCCCAUGAAGUCUUACAACCACGUCGAGAUAUACUUGAGCCAAUUUGUCUCCGGACCACGUGGUAUGAACCGGCAAGAAAUGAGCCGACUUCAUCAACCGGUCCACAAUCACCCAAAUUGCAUCGUGUCCGCCUUGAGAUCGAGGCAAACCGGUCACAAAGUCCAUUGCAAUAUCUUCCCAUUUCUAAACGGGUAUAGAUAAACUUUGAAGCUUUCCCUCCGAAAACCGGCGCUCCGCUUUUACUUGUUGGCACGUGAGAAAUUGCUCCACGAACUCCCCAAUAUCUUUCUUCAUACCCGACCACCAAUAGUGCAUUUUUAAGUCUUGGUACAUUUUAGUGCCACCCGGGUGUAUGCUAUAGGGAGAUUGAUGCGCUUCUUGUAUGAUCGCCUUUCGAAUGUCCUCAUUUUUAGGCACACACCAACGAUUUCUGAAUCGAAGUGCGCCAUCGGUCCCAAUGCUGAAAUCAUCAGCACUACCGCUCUCAACUUCACCCCGCACCUUUUGGGGAUAUGCAUCGGAAGCUUAUUGAUCUUUAAUCCUCUCCAACAAGGUUGGUUGAACCAUUAAUGCGGCAAGGCUAGCCGGCACUCCCGGAGCCACUACCUCAAAUCCAAACCGUUGCAUCUCUUUUUGCAAUAACGGUUGGGGUGUAAUUGCCGAAACAAAAUUCUCUACCAACUUUCUACUUAGAGAAUCAGCCACGACAUUAGCUUUUUCCGGGUGGUAUAGAAUAGUGACGUCAUAGACCUUUAGCAACUCCAACCAUCGCCGUUGUCGCAUAUUUAAUUCUUUCUGGAUGAACAAGUAUUUGAGACUCUUAUGAUCUAUGUAAAUCUCACAAUGCUCACCAUACAAGUAAUGCCUCCACAACUUUAGCGCGAAUAUCACCGCGGCUAGCUCAAGGUCAUUAAUAGGGUAGUUCUUUUCAUAACUCUUCAAUUGACGAGAAGCAUAAGCUAUCACUCGCCCAUUUUGCAUAAACACACACCCGAGACCAAUAUAUGAGGCAUCAUUGUACACUACAAAGCUCUCCCCCGGCAUCGGUAAAGCAAGCACCGAGGUCGAUGCCAAUCUUUCCUUUAAUUCCUCGAAGCUCUAAUCGCAAUCGUCGCUCCAAAUGUACUUCACCCCCUUGUGCGUAAGGCGCGUUAGUCGAGUAGUUAUUUUAGCAAACCCCAUCACAAACCGCCGGUAGUAUCCCGCAAGUCCAAGAAAGCUACGGAUCUCCGCAACACUUGUCGGGCGAGGCCAAUCCUUUAUUGCCUCUACUUUCUUCGGAUCAACCGAAACACCAUCACCCGAUAUUACAUGGCCUAGGAAGGUAACCUCUGAAAUUCAAAAAUCACAUUUCUUUAACUUGGCAUAAAGCUUCUCUUUUUGGAGUAUUUGCAACACGGUUCUCAAAUGCUCCUCGUGUUCCUCCUCACUUCAAGAAUAAACCAACACGUCGUCAAUGAAUACCACGACGCAUCGAUACAACAACGGUCGAAAGACCCGAUUCAUCAAGUCCAUAAUUGCUGUCGGGGUAGUAACCCUAAACGGCAUUACCGUGAAUUCGUAGUGGCCAUACCGCGUACGAUACGCCGUUCUGUGCACAUCCUUUGGUCGGAUCUUCAACUGAUGAUAUCCCGACUGAAGAUCAAUCUUCGAAUAUACCCGCGACUGUCACGCCCCGGAUGUCUCGUUCCCCGGGCACGCCGACAAAUCCGCCGUAUACAAAGAAAUUUUUCCUGUAUACGAAGCGACAGCUGUACCUGUAAAUCAAACACUACUACGAACAGUAGUAGAGAGCUGCUAGAGAAAACAGAAACUAAACAACCUGAAUUUCAUAUAUAUAGUCCAAAUCCAAAAUACGAAGCUACUCGCACUGGCGAGUUAAGUCUACUAUGUACAGAAACUCGAAACAAAACAUCUACCUGCAGUAGGGGCACCUCUAACUCAGCAGGACGGGUAGGGCUCUAACUCGCGAGGCCCUUGCUUCGAUCCUCAUCCGCGGAAGGCGCAGCAGCCGGAACCUGUAGCUCUGCAAAACAGAAGUAACAACUGGGCGUGAGAACUACUGUAAAAACAAGUAGUCCUCAGUGGGUACCGCCCAAAACCACAUCGGUCCACCCACUAAGUCUAAGGACGGGAUCAGAGUGUCAGAAAAGAGGAAGUAAAACUUCUACGCUAGUCGAUACUUCAACUAUCAUGCUUACACUAACCAACUGUUAGUAAAUGUCAAAUCUACCAAUACCAUAUCGGACUGACUAGCAACGCUCCCGGGACUGUGAAUCACCCGUCCUGCCCCGUGCGGUACUAAUCAGGACUCUAUCAACACUAUGCGUCCCGAUGAGAGAGCAAGUCUAACUGAGGUGAGCGACACUCAACGCGAAGAGCACAAAGGCUAUCUCCGGGCAGUGGCACUAACAAUGUGUGGCGCUACCCAACCGAAUGCAGCGUAUCUCUGUCGAGUCAAUCAGGCUUGAAAAGCAAAGUCAAGUAAACAACUUCAAACUGGGUUAAUAACAACAAGGUAACGUGCCCUCGGCACAAAUCUGAAGCCAAAGGUGAUACGGGGUCCACCCGUAAUCCUGACGGAAUCCCAACAGUCCGGAACUAACCUUGAACGAUCCUGUAAAAUCAUUCGGCAACCAGCACGUCGAGCGUAAUAUAUUUAAACUACCUGAAGUAUGGGCUCGGGGAAAAGAAUAACUGCGCGAGUACAUUUUAUAAUGGCUCUAGAGCUACCUAAUCAGACGUUUAAAUAUGUGACAGGUCCAAUCGCAGGUUUUUCUAAUUCAAAUCAAGUUCAACAUGUAUAAAACUACUCAAUUUAAUACACACGCCUCAAUUCAGAUUUUGCUAUCAUUAUACAAAAUUCAGGGGAUUCGAGCUAUAGAAUAGACUAUACCUAGAAUUGAAUUUUGUACACAUGGUCGACAAUUAGAACUUUAGGGUCAAAAACCCGAUGAACCCACCUCGAUCGCUAAACCAGCGCAAGCGAGGAGUCACAAAAAUUCCACAAAAUCCACUGGAAAAACAGGGUGUCAGCUCAAGUUACGAAUCGGCCUGCCACAUCGCACAUCGAGAACUCCAACUCAUUUCUGUCGAAAAAGCAAAAGAGAGAACUAAUUCACCAUGUUACCUUCAAAAAUCAAACAAUAAGGCUCAUGGUAUUCGCUCUCGAAGUCACUUGAAUCAUACGAACACGUUAUCGAAAUCCGACGAUUCCUGCGCCAGAUACGAGCAGAAACACUGAUGAGUCAACGCUGAAAUUCAGCAGAGCGAGCGUUCAAAACUGUGCGUUCAAGUAAUCCAAGGAGGAGUUAGGUACCCACCUCGAAGCGAAUCAGCCCGGGUGCAGUCUGAGGACGCGGUGAAAACCACGCGCUCGCUCGAACUCCUCGCGAUGUACGACUGCAACGUAUCGCGAACGGCUCGACGGCGCGUAUGUCGACGUGAUCCGAGCUUGCGGCUCACUCACAGCUCACUUGUGUGCGUGGGGGUCUCUAUUCACACUAAAGAGAGAAAAGAAAGCAAAUUAAUUAGAGAACCCUCAACCAGAUAAGCAUGCAUGGGGGAGUGCACGUGGCAUCCAUAGCCAUGCACACUUAGUCUAGGUACUAAUAUAUAUAUAUAUAUAUAUAUAUAUAUAGAAAGAAAGGAUACUACAUCCUCCCCCACUAUAAAAGUUUCGUCCUCGAAACUUAAAACAUACCUCAAGACGGAGUAUUGAACAAGUCGGGAUAGGACUCUCUCAUCACCGUCUCUGGCUCCCAAGUCACCUCACGCUCCUCGUGAUUGCUCCACUGCACUUUUACAUGCGGGAUGACCCGGUUGCGCAAUUCUUUCGUCUCGCGAGCAAGAAUGCGCACCGGUCGCUCCUCGUAUCUCAGAUCCUCGCUAAUCUCGAGUGGAGUGAAGUCAAUCACGUGAGAGGGGUCAAAAACGUAUCUCCUCAGUGCUGAGGCGUGAAAAAUAUCGUGGAUGCCGGCAAGUCGCGGGGGUAGAGCUAUCCUGUAAGCCACCGGUCAGAUACGCUCUAAUACCUCGAAAGGGCCAACAAACCGUGGACUAAGCUUUCCACGUACUCCAAAACGGCGUAUCCCUCUGGACGGCGAGACUUUAAGAAAAACAUGAUAUCCAACCUGGAACUCCAAGUCUCGUCUCCUGGUAUCAGCGUAGCUCCUCUGGCGGCUCUGGGCUGUCAAAAGGUGUCGUCGAACAACUCUCACCUUUUCCUCAGCCUCUAGCAAAAUCUCAGGCCCUAGUGUCUUCCUUUCACCCACAUCACUCCAACACAAAGGGAAUCGAUAUUUGCGUCCAUACAACGCCUCAAACGUAGCCAUCUGAAUGCUCGCUUGAUAGCUGUUGUUGUACGCAAACUCAGCUAGUCUCAAAUGUCGAUGCCACCCUCCUCCAAAGUCCAGGACGCACGUUCUCAGCAUGUCCUCUAGAGUCUGAAUGGUCCGCUCUGACUGACCAUCCGUCUAUGGGUGAAACGCCGUGCUGAACUGCAGCUGUGUACCCAAGGCUGUCUGCAAACUCCUCCAGAAAUGUGAUACAAACCUCGGAUCUCUAUCGGAUACAAUCGAAAUCGGCACGCCAUGCAGCCUGACAAUCUCAUCCAGAUAUAGCUGCGCGAGUCUCUCUCUGGAGCAGGUGGUCUGAACCGGUAAGAAGUGAGCAGACUUGGUCAGUCUGUCCACUAUCACCCAAAUCGCAUCAAAGUCACCCUGUGCUCUAGGUAAUCCCACGACGAAAUCCAUCGUAAUCUGCUCCCACUUCCACUCGGGCACUGGCAGACUCUGAAGCUUGCCAGCAGGCACCAGAUGCUCGGCCUUCACCUGUUGGCAAGUCAAACACUGAGCCACAAAUCUGCCAAUGUCUCUCUUCAUUUCAUUCCACCAAAACUGUGCCUUUAAAUCCUUAUACAUCUUGUUUCUCCCAGGGUGAACCAUAUAAGGUGAACAAUGAGCCUCUCUCAAAAUAGCCUCUCGGAUCUCUGAAUCCACAGGCACACACAGCCGGUCCCUGUACCGUAGUACUCCCGAACCGUCCAAAGCAAAUCCCUCAGCCUGCCCCUUGUCUAGCUGCUCUCUAAUCCUCAACAAGUACGGAUCUCCACUCUGUUUCUCUCGGAUCCUAUCCAAUAGAGUGGGCUGUAACAAAAGAGACGUCAGCCUCGCCGUAGACCCAGGGGGUACUAUCUCGAGUCCUAGCCGUCGUAGCUCCUCGAGUAGGGGUCUCUGCUCAGUAAUCCUCAAACUCAGGCUCUGCACUGACUUCCUGCUCAACGCAUCUGCCACCACAUUCGCCCUGCCGGGAUGAUACCGAAUACUAAUGUCAUAGUCCUUCAGUAACUCCAACCACCGGCGCUGCCUCAGGUUCAGCUCUCUCUGUGUGAACAGAUACUUGAGACUUUUAUGAUCGGUNNNNNNNNNNNNNNNNNNNNNNNNNNNNNNNNNNNNNNNNNNNNNNNNNNNNNNNNNNNNNNNNNNNNNNNNNNNNNNNNNNNNNNNNNNNNNNNNNNNNUUGAGUGAAGAGAGAAGAAAAGAUGGUAAUUGAUUUUUCUUUUUUUUUUUCUUUUCUGUUUGUAAUCGGGCCAAAUGGACUGGGUGUGGUGGGUUUAGUAGAGUAAUCUUUUAUUUUUGGUUGGAUUGGGCUUUAUAUUUAGGCAUUAGUAGAUGUUUUUUUAAAUUUUAGAAUAAAUGGGACACUUACUCAAAAGUGUCCCAAACAUGUGUCCCUAUAACCUAAUUCUAUUGUAGUAUAUAUAUAUAGAUAUAUGCAACUAUAACAAAUAAAGUAUAAUUUUUGAGCUUUUUCAUUAGGUUGCAUUUGCAAAUGUUUGUUGAAAUGCAAGCAGCCGAUCAACUCCUAUUGUGUUUUUGCUCGUAGUUUCUACUCCCACUACAACAGAAUUAGGUUAUAGGGACACAUGUUUGCGACACUUUUUAGUAAGUAUCUCAUUUAUACUGAAACUUAAAAAACAUCUGCUAAUGCCUAAAUAUAUAGCCCAAUCCAACCAAAAAUAAAAGAUUACUCUAAUCAACCCACCACACCCAGUCCAUUUGGCCCGAUUACAAACAGAAAAGAAAAAAAAAAGAAAAAUCAAUUGCCAUCUUUUCUUCUCUCUUCACUCAAUCCACUGAAAUUCUAGACGAAUAGCCUUUCUUGUCGUCCUCCUCCGCCACCGCAGCCAACGAGAUAGAGUUUCGGCGGUUGCUAAAUGUUUAAAUAAGUGUUGGUAAAUUAGCAGCACUCUCUUAGAUAAUAGCGACACUUUUUAACUGUCACUAUAUACCUAGCGACCCCACAUAUAGCAACACUUUUUAAAAGUGUCGNNNNNNNNNNNNNNNNNNNNNNNNNNNNNNNNNNNNNNNNNNNNNNNNNNNNNNNNNNNNNNNNNNNNNNNNNNNNNNNNNNNNNNNNNNNNNNNNNNNNNNNNNNNNNNNNNNNNNNNNNNNNNNNNNNNNNNNNNNNNNNNNNNNNNNNNNNNNNNNNNNNNNNNNNNNNNNNNNNNNNNNNNNNNNNNNNNNNNNNNNNNNNNNNNNNNNNNNNNNNNNNNNNNNNNNNNNNNNNNNNNNNNNNNNNNNNNNNNNNNNNNNNNNNNNNNNNNNNNNNNNNNNNNNNNNNNNNNNNNNNNNNNNNNNNNNNNNNNNNNNNNNNNNNNNNNNNNNNNNNNNNNNNNNNNNNNNNNNNNNNNNNNNNNNNNNNNNNNNNNNNNNNNNNNNNNNNNNNNNNNNNNNNNNNNNNNNNNNNNNNNNNNNNNNNNNNNNNNNNNNNNNNNNNNNNNNNNNNNNNNNNNNNNNNNNNNNNNNNNNNNNNNNNNNNNNNNNNNNNNNNNNNNNNNNNNNNNNNNNNNNNNNNNNNNNNNNNNNNNNNNNNNNNNNNNNNNNNNNNNNNNNNNNNNNNNNNNNNNNNNNNNNNNNNNNNNNNNNNNNNNNNNNNNNNNNNNNNNNCAUAUGGAUCCUCAACAAGUGGGAACUACCCUCAACACUGACAGGUAGCAAAGUGUUCACGGAACCCCAACUAAGACGCUCUCGAUUACUCCGUGUAACGGAGCAACCUCACUUGCUCCUCAAAGCAACNAAAGAAAAGACAAACAUUAGCCCGGUUUACCUGACCCACACCACCCAACUAAUCUCAUUAGAAAAUAAAAACCAACCUAACCCGAUAUAUAAAUCCGUAAUCGUCUACAAAAAAUUCAAAGUCAUAUUUACUCUAUGAAUGAUUUUUCACAGCGUUUGUACACAGGGAUAUUGGAUUAAGACAACAUCACCCUCAUCUUUGAUGCUCGUUUUUGUGUUAUCCGGACAUUCCCAACUCCCACAAAGGGUAUACUCUCGACAAUUAGUCUAUCCUGGAUGAAGUACAAUCCUCACAUUUCGAGAAUUCACUUCCUUACAAAAUCCCUGCCCAAGCUUCCAAAGAGAGCAAGAACCCUUCCAACCCAACCUAGAGGAAGGUUCUAAACCCAUCAAUUAGGUCUCCAAGCCCUCAAAUUAAAAAUCCUCAAAAUAAACCCUAAAAUCUAAAUCUAGUGUUUCAUUUUCCAAAAUCUACCAAAAAUAGGUCUAGAGGGGAGAAAUAAGCAACUAACCUCAAGGGGAUAUCCAAACCAAGCUCAAAAUGCUCUAGGUCCAAGAAUCUUCCCUCAAACAAGCCUUAAGUCCAAGCUCUAAGCUUCAACCAUGGUGGAGAUGCACAAAGGGGGAAAAAUGAAAGAUCAAUCCACCAAAAUCCAAGCUAAAAGGAGAUCAAAUCCAAAGAGGGGAAGAGAGAGGCUCCCCUACCUAUUCUCUGCUGGUGCAAGGCUCAAAGAGAGCCCUAAGAGGCGUGGGUACACAUAUAAUGUUGCUGCAAUAGCAAAAACACCCCUGCAGUUUAAGCAGUCUGCGGACUGCACUGCGUACCUGUAUACGGGGCCGCGUACCGAUACACAUCCCACGAAAUGCCAAACCCGAGCCUCGGGUUGGCUGAGAAGCUGCCUGUGUACCAGUACACGGCCCCGCGUACCGGUACAACCAUCAACCCUGUACCGGUACAGCCAUCAACCAUGUACCGGUACACAGCCUGCUGAAGGCUACCCGAGAGCUGACCAAAAAUUCGACUUUUUGGGUUUUGGUGCAAAGUUUCAAACUUCAAUUCUCGGGGCUCGAACCAUAGGUCGGAACACUAUCCACGACCCUCCACGAAGUGUGGAAAAGUUCGGAACACAAAUCAAACACUCGAACCUCACUAUUUGCAACGGUUUAGUGUGUUACAUCCGGUCCCCGUAGCCCGAAAAUGCCCUGCGCGGGCUGUGCACAAAGAAGCAUUGUUGAGGGGUUUUUAUGCAAUUUUGCAUUAGUGAGGGCAAUAUGAAGGGGUGAGAGCCUUCUCCUCUCAUUCCUUUCAACCGUAACACCCAAACACCUCUCUCUCUCUCUAGAAGCUCUCUCUCUCUAUUCAAGAAUGAAGGAAAGGAGGAGGGAUUGGUGGAGAAGAAGACGAAGGAGUGGAUGAACCUUCUUCUUCUCCUUCUCAAGCUUGGAGCAAGCUUUUGGAGGUAAGCUCAAGGAGCUUUCAUGGUAGAUCCUUAGAGAUGGAUUUUUAAUCUCUAGAAUUGGUUUAUUUGGAAUUCUAGCAUGCUAAAUAGGUGAUAAAUGCUAGAAUCUAGAAAUUAAACGGUGGAUUUUGCAAUAGUUGCAAACUAGGGCAUCCAAAGAGGGUUUUGGUAUAUGAGUAGUGCUACUGGUACAACCCAUCUUGGGUUGUACAUCCUACAACUAUCCUAUCCAAUGGCUGAUAUUAGUUACCUUUUGAAAAAAAAAAUCAGUGUUAUCCUCACUCCCAUUUUCUUCCUCCUCACCCUUUCCCCCCCUUUUUUGAUCUCUCUCCUCUUUUCCAGUGCCUGCGGGUUAGAGAGAGAGGGCUGAGCGAUAGAGCGAGAGAGAGAAGAUCUCGAGCGAGAGAGGGGCGCCUCACUCCCCGUUUUUGGCGCCUGCGAGCUAGAGAGAUAGAGGCCUACGAGCGAUAGAGCGAGAGAGAGAAGAGCUUGAGCGAGACAGGGGCGACCUCCGCAAGAAAAGGCGAGAGCGAGAGUAAGGGAAACUUCGUCUUUGAUUCAUUGUUUCUGAGAGGGGAAGCGCUGGUUUGAGAUUAGGUGGGCUUCAGAGCGAUACUUCUUGCAGAGUUGUCGUUGGCGAGGGGAACUUCGUGUUUGAUUUGGUGUCCAAGUGGCCGGAUGCGGAUGGCGCCUUGAUUAGCAUCUUGCAUUUGGUAAAUCUCCCCUUUCUAUUUCUCAGUGGAUGGGUGUGACUUGGGUUCGUGUUGUAGUUAUUACGGAUUAAUUGAUUGUGAUGUUGUAAGCAUUUGAUCGCAGAGAAUUAGUGAUCUUUAAUGUUUAAUGAAACUGGUUUCUUUUUUAUGUUGUUAUACUGUUGAGUGUAUACGUAAUAAUGAACGUGAGAAGAUUGAGGAAUUUAAGUGAAAAAGGUAAAAUUAGGACACAACACAAAUGCUACAGUUCCAAUUUAACAAUUGAAAGGUUCGUGACCAAAGUAAAACUAUGCUAAAAGGUCGAGAUCCCGUGGUGCAGUUUACUCAUAGGUUGAAAAAAGUUUUGAAUUUAAGAGUUUCAGUCCUAAUAACAAUGACAACUAACUAGUUUACUACUGAAGUACAUUUAAUGAACUUGGCCUUUGUCACCAUUGUUUUACUUACAUUUGUUUAGAUGCAUCGUAAAUAAAGUAUAUAAGUGAUUUCUCAAAGUUGAUUUUGCAAAUUUAUUGCCCUUCCUGUAUUGAUGCUGAAAUAUUAUUAUCUUGGAACUAGCGAGGCCAAUUCACUAGCCAGUUCAGAUAGGUUGAUCAGUAAUAUUCUAUAUAACAUGAAAGUCCAACUAUUCGUCUCUUACGCAUAAUUGCUGUCCAAGUGUGCUCAAUUUACUAGCUGCGAUUCCUUACUUCUGGUCCACACUGUCUAAUUACUUCCAGUAUAUGAUGCUCGUCCUUGAGCUGCAAAAACUUAUGUCUCUUUUAUAUGAUGUGUGAAUGGCUUGUAAUUCAAGUGAGCAUUAUCUUAUCAGUCUUAAAAAUAAGACUGAUAAGUUGCGACUAUCUCAUUGGAGUUCUUUGUCUUCACAUUUGUCAUGUACUAACUAAAACGUUUAGGAUUAUAAUAAAAUACUUGUAUUAUUUUGUUAUGCCACAAUAAUUCAUUUUUAGGGCAUAGUAGAAUGUGGUGUAUACAUUAUUAAUUUAGAUGUAUUGAUUUUGAUAAAUAGUUUGCCCGGUCACCAUUAUUCCAAUUGUGUAUUUCGACUGCAUGUGAUGUCUUACAAGUGAGCAAUUUUGUUAAAUUUCUGGGUUGACUGAUUAUUUGAAUUGAACAUUUUUGAGAUAGAUGAAGAAAAAAACAGUGAUGUCAGAGACGUAAAUAUUUCGGCACCAGAAAUUGGAAUGUCUUUUAUCAAUUUUGAAGCUGUUUUUAAUUUCUAUAAGCAUUACGCACAAGAAUUAGGAUUUGGAGUUGUAAAGAGGACAACUAAAAUGAUUGAUGGCAAGGCUACGUAUAUAAUAAUCGCAUGCUCUUGUCAUGGAAAAAUGCAUCGGACCGUGACGAAUCUUCGUCCUCGUCCAUCGUUGGUGAAGACGAACUGUCUUGCGAGGAUAAAUGUGGUAAUAAAUGCGGAUUCAUCUUGUGUAAUAAGUAAAAUUGUACUUGAGCAUAAUCACAUCCUAAGUCCUUAUAAGUCUCGAUUUUUUUCCUGCAAUCGAGUUAUAGAUCCAAGCAUCAAGAGGCGGCUUGAUCUUAAUGAUCGUGCUGGAAUCAGAUUGAACAAAAAUUUUAAUUCUAUUGCUGUUGAAGCUGGUGGGUAUGAAAACUUAACAUUUGGAGAGAAGGAUGCUCGUAAUUAUAUUAAAAAAGUCCGUCGAUUAUGACUUGGUGAAGGUGACGGCGAGGCAAUUUGUAAUUAUUUUAGAGAAAUGCAAGAGAGAAAUGGAAACUUUUUUUAUGCUAUAGAUCUAGACGAUGAUUCUCGGCUUCGCAAUGUCUUUUGGGCAGAUGCUCGGAGUAGAGCUGCGUAUUAAUGUUUCGG